rnacentral:rRNA from 1 species
CCUACGGGUGGCAGCAGUGAGGAAUAUUGGUCAAUGGGCGCGAGCCUGAACCAGCCAAGUAGCGUGAAGGAUGACUGACCUACGUGUUGUAAACUUCUUUUAUAAAGGAAUAAAGUGAGGCACGUGUGCCUUUUUGUAUCUACUUUAUGACUAAGGAUCGGCCAACUCCGUGCCAGAAGCCGCGGUAAUAUGGCGGAUGCGAGCGUUAUCCGGAUUUAUUGGGUUUAAAGGGAGCGUAGAUGGGUUGUUAAGUCAGUUGUGAAAGUUUGCGGCUCAACCGUACAAUUGCAAUUGAUACUGGCAGCCUGGAGUGCAGUUGAGGUAGGCGGAAUUCGUGGUGUAGCGGUGAAAUGCUUAGAUAUCACGAAGAACUCCGAUGGCGAAGGCAGCUUACUAAACUGCCACUGACAUUGAUGCUCGAAAGUGUGGGUAUCAAACAGGAUUAGAUACCCUUGUAGUC